AUGCUCAUUGUCAAUGUGUGCUGCGAUUGUAGGACAUUACCACGCAAACGCAAGACCUUAGUCAGACCCUUGUCCUGUUCAAGAGCCAGUUCCCUCUAUCCUAUGUCGAGGACUCCCAGGCCCCUCGAUGAACAGAUGCCUGCUGAUUCAGAUGUGUUCGAGGUUUUAGGCACAUGUCCUCCUUUUGUGCCUACAACCUUUGUGCUCGCUCAGCCAAGUGUUGUUGUUGUUGCUGUUGCCGUUGCACAAAUGACAUCAACAAAGGCAAAUAAGGAUGGUAGGGGCAACAUGAAGUGGUAG
rnacentral:rRNA from 1 species